rnacentral:tRNA from 2 species
GAUCCACUAGCUCAGUUGGCAGAGCACUUGACUUUUAAUCAAGGUGUCCGGAGUUCGAAUCUCCGGUGGAUCACCA